AUCCCCCGCCAUGCCCCGCGGCAGCCCGCUGCGGCCGCGUGGGUACCCUCAGUCAGCGGGCGGGAGCAGGGUCGUUCUCCCGAGCAAUGUCCCAAAAGUUGUCGCCAUCAUCAACGGCUACUUGCCAGCAGAGCAACUGAAGUCUGUGGAAGGACUCGUUUCACUUCCUUGCCAGAGGCCAGGCGCCCAAAUGGGGUCUCUGAACAAAAUGAAUUUCAUUACAAGGCUUUCUGCUUUAUGUCUGAGGAAAAGCAAGAUGCAACAGAGGCACCAAAGUACGAGACGACCAGCUGUUCCACUUGGAUCACGGAUUUUAACUGAUCCUUCUAAGGUUUUUGAGCAUAACAUGUGGGACCACAUGCAGUGGUCACGAGAAGAAGAGGAAAAUGCCAAGGAAAGAGCAGCAGAGAAUUCACUUGUGAAAGUCCAAUGGGAAGACCAAGAUAAAUAUGAGAGAGAAGCCAGUAAAUAUUGGAAUGAAUUUUACAAGACUCAUAAAAAUAACUUUUUCAAGGAUCGCAAUUGGCUGUUUCUGGAGUUUCCAGAAAUUCUUCCAGAAAAAAAGAGAGAAGAGUUGAAAACAGAAGAAAUAUCUUCAGAAUGCACAAAAAUAAAUAGUACCAACAGUUUUUCAGACAAAAAUGAAAUAUUUGAGGAAGGAGAAAAAUAUUGGAAGAAAAAUUAUGGAGGUGGUUCUACUUCUGUACAAGGAUAUGUAUGUAAUAAAAAAGAAGCAAAAUCUCCUACUGACAAUCCUCAGGGUAAAAUCUGUGGAGAAGAACUUGGCAGGCUAGAAUCCUUCCCUGGUAGUGAUGCCACUUACAGAAUAUUAGAGGUUGGUUGUGGUGCUGGAAACAGUGUCUUUCCUAUUUUGAAAGUUCUAUGCAAUACACCUGGAACCUUUCUAUACUGUUGUGAUUUUGCUUCAGGAGCAGUGGAGCUGGUAAAGUCACAUUCGUCCUACAAUUCAGCCUGGUGUUCUGCCUUUGUUCAUGAUGUGUGUGAUGAUGCUUUACCCUAUCCUUUUCCAGAUGAGAUCCUGGAUGUCAUUCUCCUUGUCUUUGUGCUCUCUACUAUUCAUCCUGACAGGAUGCAAGGUGUUGUAAACAGAUUGGCUAAACUCCUGAAACCUGGAGGAAUGUUGUUAUUUCGAGACUAUGGAAGAUAUGAUACAGCUCAACUUCGUUUUAAAAAAGGUCAUUGCUUGUCAGAAAACUUUUACGUACGAGGAGAUGGAACCAGGGUAUAUUUCUUUACCAAAGAUGAGGUAUGGAACAUGUUCAACUUGGCUGGAUUAACUGAAGUACAGAAUUUAGUUGAUCGGCGAUUGCAAGUAAACAGGAAGAAAAAAGUGAAAAUGCAGCGAGUAUGGAUACAAAGCAAGUUCCAAAAACCAUUGCUGCUAUCUCUGAAUAUUCCUGAAGAAACCACCAAAAGGCACCCUUAGGGAUAAUUGCACCACGAACUCCAGAAGCUGAAGCAAAUUUGACUUUCUUGUAGGUCCCCUUCAGAAACUGGAAGGCUGCUAUAAGGACCAUCCUCCACCCUUUGCAAGUACCAAGCAACUAAAAGAAGAGCUUGCCUGGUUUGAAAGUGGGAGCCAUACAGGCAGGAGGGGAGGAAGAUGAAGAUGCAGCUCAAAGGCUGACAAGAGAACGAAACUCUAUAGUGACAGAAGCUACACUCCUAACCUCCUGGGAAGCAAAUACAAAAGAAUAACAGAAGUGUCUGCAUCCUGAUUGUGUUCAAUCAAGCUACCCUACUUUCUUAUUUACAUUAAUAAAGCUUUUUGAGACUCCCAAGUGAAAUCAUGCAGAUGGAGUCAAGAUCUCUGGGCCCCAGAAGAUAAAUGCCUAACACGUGACCUACAAGUGUAUUUCUGCUGCCUGCGAUAGAUACAAAGAAAGCAAGAAAGUCUUGGUUUAUUCUACUAGGAGGAAAAUGAGUAAAUGUUAUAUUAUCCAGCCCUUUAUGUGGGACUUUCUAAUGUGUUUUUUGGAGAGGACUGAAUCCUGCUUUCAAUUAUGCACGGUAUGCUGAAGGAACCAACUAAAAGUUUUGCCACCAACUUCACUCAAGACAAGAUCUCAUCAUAAAGAAAUUCCAUACUCGGAUCUGCAGCUAUUGUGCAUACCUGUUCAGUAAUCUUCCAUGAGGGCAGUGUAGUGCCAAAGGAGGAAAAGCUGAAUGUACUUUUCAUUCCCAGGAGAAAUUAAAAAGAAGGCAAGUGCUUUGAGUGGUAAGCAAACCUGCCUUCAUUUUUAUUCUACUGACCUGCCAUAACGAAACUUGAAACAAAGCUCAUGGUACUGAACAAAAAUAUUUUGAAACUGAGUGCCUUAAGGAGCUGUGGGGUUGGUGUGAAUGUGAUCUGAGCUCUUCUUCUUUUUCCCUCUAGUGUACAGUAUAUGUUGACAGUAAAUUCUUCCUGCAGAUACUGGUCAUGAGAAGUUUUGCCCUGGGGGUCAGACAGAAAACUGUAUCAGAAGUGUAAGAGAAAUCUUGCUGUUUGUGUGGGACCUCUAUAUAAAUAUGCCUGUUUCAGUCCCUUUCCAUUUCAGCAUUUUUGUGUAGAUCUCUCAGGUACAAAGUCUUUAUGGACAAUGUAGUAUUUAAUAAGAUUUUUGAGACCUGUAAUGUUCAGGGGUUUGUUUAUGAUUUUUAUGCAAAAGCAAAAACAUAUUGAAAUCAGACAUGAAUCUAGUUUGUGAAUUAUGUUCGGGAAGUGCUGUGUGGAAAAAUACCCAUAAUCACUCACAGAGAUUAGGAAUUUAAUAUUCUACUUAAUAUACCCAGCAUUAGACACAUAAGAUUAUAAGUAGCAUUGCUGAGUUUAUUCAUAGCAAUAACUACUUGCUUGUGUUAAGGCAGGGUGACAGUUCAGUUCUGAUCCUGAAAAGCAGGAAAAAGCUAAUGUCUUUAUCAACCCUGUGCUCACGCUCUCUUUAUGGGAACUUUGCAAUAACAGUGCAAUUGCUCUUUUGAGCCACAGUCAGGGAUCUCCUGAGUUAUUCUGAAUGUGUGCUAGCCUCAGUUAUUGGUGUCCUGGUCCCCAGAUGGACCUUUUCUUCCACUGCCCUGUGGCAUUCCUUGCCAAAACGGUUAGUCUUACCCUUUACCACAUGAAGGUAGAAGGGCUAGAGUUUGGCAUGACAGUACUGAAGAGCGAGAGCUUCUAUAAAAGAGAAAUCGUAACUUUUUUCUCCAAAAAAACCUACGUAGACUUUGCUUUCAGAUUGUUGAAUCCCACCCCAAGAAGCUAUCCAGUAAACAGUUUGUCAUUGCUGGGCAUCAGGACCAAAUAACAAGAGCCAUGGAUAACCUCCAUCAUAAAGGACCACUAAAGCCGUAUAUAAACAAAGGAUUCUCAAAGAAGCUGGAUAUUUUCUACCUGUCACAUCAGCAAAAUGGGCCUGGCUGCAGUCCUGGGAUUCAGUACAGCUGCUUACCUGUAAUUGGUUGUGAGGCUGUCUAAGAAAUUGUCCUAUACUGGUGAAUAAUAAUCAGCUCAUGGUUGGGUUAGAGCAAGGGUGAUAGGAUAACAUGUGUAGCAGUAACUUUGGUACGUAAAACUCACAGCUAGCAUAGAACAAUGCUGCGUAUUCCCAGAGAUGGAGGAUACUGCCCAUUUGUCUUCUGUCCCUUGCUCUGCCUGUUCAAAGAAUAAUAAAUGAGCAUCAGUAUCCUGCUCUAUUUUCUCUAGGCACUCCAGGAAUGAGCUUUGGGGUAUUUAAGGGAUCUACUAAAGCUCAGAAAUAAACCAUGGGUCAUCUAGAACAACAGAUCUUUCUGCAGUAACAGCAAAGCUGGACUGUGUUAGAACAGAGUUGUCUUUGGAAAUGGUUCAGUUCUGUAUCAGAAGCUUCAGGAAAGGAAUAUUUCUUUAAUGCUUUGUGCUCCAACAUAAGUACCCAUAUUUGUGUGCAGGCAUGUGUAAAACAAAAUAAAAAUUCCAAAACAAAGCAAGCUGACUUGCUUCUUCCUGGCUCCAUGCAGACAAACUCUUAGAACUGGAUAGAUAGCAGUUGUGUUGCUUUACGCGUGCCUGAGACGUGGUCAGAAAACAAUACAGAAAUACAUAAAAAAAGUAGAAAAUAAUGUGCAAAAUGUCUUGCUGCUAUUUUGUUUGCCUCUAAACAAUGUUAUAAAUAAAUGAGUAUGUGCGAUUGACCGUGGAUUAUCCUUUACCCCUGAGGAUCUAAAAACUUGAUUUGGAACAAGUUUACAGGACAUUUUAUAACUUCU